GGCUCGUUGGUCUAGAGGUAUGAUUCUCGCUUCGGGUGCGAGAGGUCCCGGGUUCAAUUCCCGACGAGCCC
rnacentral:tRNA from 1 species